CAGCACAAUUCACACAAAUCAUUUCAUUUGUUUUUAAUGUCCCAACAACAUAAAAAGCUUCAUUUACUCAAUAUCAUGUGAAUGUGCAAAAUUCUAAAGUAAACACCAACUUGUACAUCAAGUUACUGCCUUAAAAUGCUCCGGAGUUUGUUUUUUUUCUCCUCUCACUACAUCCUAUCUACUACAUCCAUAAUGUGCACCAUAGACAAUUUUGACGUUUCUCUUUACUGAGAAAAGAGCAAGAGAUUCUUAUGUGAAACACAAAACAUAGGGAGGCUGUUGGGCGUCAGAUGGGUGAUAGUAAACGUAUGCAUUUAACAUGUAGAGAGCUUUAAUGAAUUCUUCAGUCAAAUGUAUAAAUUUGAUGAACAGUUCUUCUGUUUCCUCAGGAUUGUGGACAGAUAUUAAUAAACCUCAGGGAAAAUAUCCUCUUGUUUCUGCUCAGAUCUCAGCAUGUCUGGUAGACAUCUCAUCAUGGAGGUCAGCUCAUCAGCUGAAACUUAAUCCCAACUAAACUGAACUGCUGUUCAUCCCAGCUGAUUCAUCACCAUGUCUGGACAACUUUCUUGUCCCACCUUCAAGUACUGCACACAACCUUGGGGUGACCAUGAACAAUCAACUGUGCUUUUCCUCUCUCAUUGCUAAUCUGACCUGCUCAUGUCGAUUUCUCCUUUGCAACAUCAGAAGGACUCGUCCAUUUCUGUCCAUACGGGCCAUUCAGGUGCUGGGUCAGUGUCUUGUCAUUUUGAGACUGGACUACUGCAACUCACUCCUGGCAGGUCUGUCUCGGAGUGCCAUUUGACCUCUGCAACUGAUCCAGAAUGCAGCUGCUCGCCAUGUUUUCAACCUUCCUAACUUUUCCCACACCACCCCAUUGUUACGCUCCCUCCACUGGCUUCCUGUAGCUAACCCGCAUCAGAUUUAAAUCUAUGAUGCGUGUUUACAGAGCCAAAAAUGGACCAGCACCCAUUUACCUCAAAUCACUUAUCACACCAUGCACUGCACCACACUCCCUCCGAACCUCUAGCACCGCUACACUAGUGCCAUCAUCUCUCAGGGUACAACUAAGGCGUGCAUCAAGAUUCUUCUCUGUUCUGGCAUCUAGGUAACUUCCCCUAGAUGUCGGACAUCUAAAGACGUCCUCUUUCUAAAGCAGGGGUGUCCAAUCUUAUCCGCAAAGGACCUGUGUGGGUGUACGUUUUCAUUCCAAUCAAACAGGAGCCACACCUGAUUCCACCUGUUUAAUCAGUUGAGCUUGGCUUUCAGUAGAUUCAGGUGUGGCUCUUGCUUGGAUGGAAUGAAAACCUGAACCCCACACCGGCCCUUUGUGGAUAAGAUUGGACAUCCCUGUCCUAAAGUAUUUAAAUGAGC
ensembl:lncRNA